UACAGAGGGUGCGAGCGUUGUUCGGAAUUAUUGGGCGUAAAGGGCUCGUAGGCGGCCUGUUGCGUCCGCUGUGAAAGCCCGGGGCUUAACCCCGGGUCGGCAGUGGAUACGGGCAGGCUAGAGGUAGGUAGGGGAGAAUGGAAUUCCCGGUGUAGCGGUGAAAUGCGCAGAUAUCGGGAGGAACACCGGUGGCGAAGGCGGUUCUCUGGGCCUUACCUGACGCUGAGGAGCGAAAGCGUGGGGAGCGAACAGG
rnacentral:rRNA from 1 species